CGGGCCUUCCGUAUAUGCGCUGUCAGCAUUUUGGGUACACACUCUGUUCGGUCCCCUGCACUGUGUCCAGGUCUUCUGGGGUUGUAUAGAUGCUGACAUGGCAGCGCGUGGUGUCGUCGAUUGCCUGGUUAGGCUCGGCGACGGAAGCUGGCGGAAGCUGCCUCAGAGCGGCGCCCAUUUUGGCGCAAACAUCAUCACCUACAAAA
rnacentral:lncRNA from 1 species